rnacentral:rRNA from 1 species
CCUACGGGCGGCUGCAGUGAGGAAUAUUGGUCAAUGGACGAGAGUCUGAACCAGCCAAGUAGCGUGAAGGAUGACUGCCCUAUGGGUUGUAAACUUCUUUUAUAUGGGAAUAAAAUGUUCCACGUGUGGGAUUUUGUAUGUACCAUAUGAAUAAGGAUCGGCUAACUCCGUGCCAGCAGCCGCGGUAAUACGGAGGAUCCGAGCGUUAUCCGGAUUUAUUGGGUUUAAAGGGAGCGUAGGUGGAUUGUUAAGUCAGUUGUGAAAGUUUGCGGGUCAACCGUAAAAUUGCAGUUGAAACUGGCAGGCUUGAGGACAGUAGAGGUGGGCGGAAUUCGUGGUGUAGCGGUGAAAUGCUUAGAUAUCACGAAGAACUACGAUUGCGAAGGCAGCUCACUGGACUGCAACUGACACUGAGGCUCGAAAGUGUGGGUAUCAAACAGGAUUAGAUACCCCAGUAGUC